rnacentral:rRNA from 1 species
UACGUAGGGUGCAAGCGUUGUCCGGAAUUAUUGGGCGUAAAGAGCUCGUAGGCGGUUUGUCGCGUCGAAUGUGAAAACCCGGGGCUCAACCCCGGGCCUGCAUUCGAUACGGGCAGACUAGAGUUCGGUAGGGGAGUCUGGAAUUCCUGGUGUAGCGGUGAAAUGCGCAGAUAUCAGGAGGAACACCAGUGGCGAAGGCGGGACUCUGGGCCGAUACUGACGCUGAGGAGCGAAAGCAUGGGGAGCGAACAGG